rfam:Candidatus Lloydbacteria bacterium RIFCSPHIGHO2_01_FTLL_49_22 rifcsphigho2_01_scaffold_508, whole genome shotgun sequence.
GGGCCUAUAGUUUAGCGGUAAAAUUCUUCUCUCCAAAAGAAGAGUCCGAGGUUCGACUCCUCGUGGGCCCG